rnacentral:rRNA from 1 species
CGUCGCCGCGGGAAAACGAAGGGUGCAAGCGUUAAUCGGAAUUACUGGGCGUAAAGCGUGCGUAGGCGGUGAGUUAAGUCUGCUGUGAAAUCCCCGGGCUCAACCUGGGAACUGCAUUUGUGACUGGCAAGCUAGAGUGUGGCAGAGGGGGGUGGAAUUCCGCGUGUAGCAGUGAAAUGCGUAGAUAUGCGGAGGAACACCGAUGGCGAAGGCAGCCCCCUGGGCCAACACUGACGCUCAUGCACGAAAGCGUGGGGAGCAAACAGGAUUAGAUACCCCUGUAGUCCCUGUCUCUUAUACA